CUACGGGGGGCACCAGUGGGGAAUAUUGCACAAUGGGCGCAAGCCUGAUGCAGCCAUGCCGCGUGUAUGAAGAAGGCCUUCGGGUUGUAAAGUACUUUCAGCGGGGAGGAAGGGGGUAAAGUUAAUACCUUUGCUCAUUGACGUUACCCGCAGAAGAAGCACCGGCAAACUCAGUGCCAGCAGCCGCGGUAAUACGGAGGGUGCAAGCGUUAAUCGGAAUUACUGGGCGUAAAGCGCACGCAGGCGGUUUGUUAAGUCAGAUGUGAAAUCCCCGGGCUCAACCUGGGAACUGCAUCUGAUACUGGCAAGCUUGAGUCUCGUAGAGGGGGGUAGAAUUCCAGGUGUAGCGGUGAAAUGCGUAGAGAUCUGGAGGAAUACCGGUGGCGAAGGCGGCCCCCUGGACGAAGACUGACGCUCAGGUGCGAAAGCGUGGGGAGCAAACAGGAUUAGAUACCCCAGUAGUC
rnacentral:rRNA from 1 species